rnacentral:rRNA from 1 species
GAAUUCGAUUACCGCUCAGUAACACGUGGACAACCUACCCUUAGGUCGGGGAUAAACCCGGGAAACUGGGUAUAAUACCCGAUAGAUCUCGACUGCUGGAAUGCAUCGAGAUCGAAAGCUCCGGCGCCUAAGGAUGGGUCUGCGGCCUAUCAGGUAGUAGUGGGUGUAGCGUACCUACUAGCCUACGACGGGUACGGGUUGUGAGAGCAAGAGCCCGGAGAUGGAUUCUGAGACACGAAUCCAGGCCCUACGGGGUGCAGCAGGCGCGAAAACUUUACAAUGCUGGAAACAGCGAUAAGGGGACCUCGAGUGCCAGGUUACAAAUCUGGCUGUCGUGAUGCCUAAAAAGCAUUGCAUAGCAAGGGCCGGGCAAGACCGGUGCCAGCCGCCGCGGUAACACCGGCGGCUCGAGUGGUAACCGUUAUUAUUGGGUCUAAAGGGUCUGUAGCCGGCCGGAUAAGUCUCUUGGGAAAUCCAGCAGCUCAACUGUUGGGCUUUCAGGAGAUACUGUCUGGCUCGAGGCCGGGAGAGGUGAGAGGUACUUCAGGGGUAGGGGUGAAAUCUUGUAAUCCUUGAAGGACCACCAGUGGCGAAGGCGUCUCACCAGAACGGACCUGACGGCAAGGGACGAAAGCUAGGGGCACGAACCGGAUUAGAUACCCGGGUAGUCCUAGCCGUAAACGAUACUCGCUAGGUGUCGGCCACGGUGCGACCGUUGUCGGUGCCGUAGGGAAGCCGUGAAGCGAGCCACCUGGGAAGUACGGCCGCAAGGCUGAAACUUAAAGGAAUU